UACAUUAUUCGAUUUUGGUAGAGCAACAUAUGCUAAUUUUUGAAGUUAGAAGUUAUGGAAAACCUCAUAAAUCAUAAUUCAUCCUUCAGAUCUUGAUUGCUGCUUUCCUGUGUUGACUCGGGUUUCUGAGUUGACUCAGUUUCGAGUUUCUGAGUGGACUCGGUUUGGGGUUUCUGAGUCGACUCAGGUUUCUGGAGCUUGAAUGGGAUAGCCGCGUGUUGCUUGAGAAACUUGUAGAAGGCUUUCACUGUUCUAUCUGUAUCAACUGUGAUC
rnacentral:lncRNA from 1 species